GGGGAUUAUCUAGAAUUCUCAUAGGCUUCCAGUCGGAUUCUUCCUUGAUUUGUCUGAGAGCGACGAAGUGAAGCGCAUCACUUUGAAUUUGGUAGAUAUGACAUGCCCAAGGGUAUGCAUCUGGUGCUGACCAAAUCUUCUGCUCCUCAAAUACUGUCUCCUCAGCAAGAGAUUCGGCCACACAAUAUACCAAGUUAGGCUCUGGCUCAGCAAAAUCGGCAACUGCAACACAUCCUGGAGAGACAAAGCCUUCUGGAGCCCUUGGAUGCCAGA
rnacentral:misc_RNA from 1 species